rfam:Loxodonta africana unplaced genomic scaffold scaffold_108, whole genome shotgun sequence.
CAAAAGGCUCUUUUCAGAGCCACCCACUAUUUCUGUGGAAGAGUUG